rnacentral:rRNA from 1 species
AUAGCACUCGAGAUAACCCCAUCGCACUUGCGUGGGAAUAAGGGGGGGGCAAGACUGGUGUCAGCCGCCGCGGUAACACCAGCCCCCCGAGUGGUAGGGAUGAUUAUUUGGCCUAAAGCGUCCGUAGCCGGCUAGGUAAAUUUCUCGUUAAAUCCAACGUCCUAAGCGUUGGGCUGCGUGAAAAACUGCCAAGCUAGAGGGUGGGAGAGGUCAGCGGUAUUCCUGGGGUAGGGGCGAAAUCCAUUGAACCCAGGAGGACCACCAGUGGCGAAGGCUGCUGACUAGAACACGCCUGACGGUGAGGGACGAAAGCUGGGGUAGCGAAUCGGAUUAGAUACCCGAGUAGUCCCAGCCGUAAACGAUGCAGGCUAGGUGUUGGGUUGGCCACGUGCCGACUCAGUGCCACAGGGAAGCCAUUAAGCCUGCCGCCUGGGGAGUACGGCCGCAAGGCUGAAACUUAAAGGAAUUGGCGGGGGAGCACCACCAGGCGUGAAGCCUGCGGUUUAAUUGGAGUCAACGCCGGGAAUCUUACCGGGAGCGACAGCAGAAUGAAGGCCAGGUUGAAGGUCUUGCUGGACGAGCUGAGAGGUGGUGCAUGGCCGUCGCCAGUUCGUGCCGUGAGGUGUCCUCUUAAGUGAGGUAACGAACGCGACCCGUGCCCCAUGUUGCUAACAGUAUCUAAAGGAUAGCUGAGCACUCUUGGGGGACCGCAGCCGACAAGGCUGAGGAACGUGCGGGCCACGGCAGGGCAGUAUGACCCGAAUCUCCCGGGCCACACGCGGGCUGCAAUGGUAUGGACAGAGGGCUGCGACCCCGAGAGGGGGAGCCAAUCCCUAAACCGUACCUCAGUUGGGAUCGAGGGCUGCAACCCGCCCUCGUGAACAUGGAAUGCCUAGUAAUUGCCAGUCAUCAUCUGGCGGUGAAUACGUCCCUGCUCCUUGCACACACUGCCCGUCGAACCACCCGAAUGAGGUUUUGAUGAGGCAUGGUCGAAAGUUGGCCGUGUCGAAUCUGGGCCUUGUAAGGAGGGUUAAGUCGUAACAAGGUGGCCGUAGGGGAACCUGCGGCCG